CCUACGGGAGGCAGCAGUGAGGAAUAUUGGUCAAUGGCCGGAAGGCUGAACCAGCCAUGCCGCGUGAAGGUCAGUGCCCUAUGGGCGUUAAACUUCUUUUGUGCGGGAGCAAUAAUGGUCACGUGUGGCCAGACGAGAGUACCGUACGAAUAAGCAUCGGCUAAAUCCGUGCCCGCAGCCGCGGUUAUACGGGGGAUGCAAGCGUUAUCCGGAUUUAUUGGGUUUAAAGGGUGCGUAUGCUGUGAGGUAAGUCAGCGGUGAAAUGCCUCCGCUCAACGGGGUGAAGUGCCAUUGAUACUGGCUUGCUGGAAUGCGGAUGCGGUGGGAGGAAUGUGUGGUGUAGCGGUGAAAUGCAUAGAGAUCACACAGAACACCGAUUGCGAAGGCAUCUCACGAAUCCGCGAUUGACGCUGAUGCACGAAAGCGUGGGUAUCAAACAGGAUUAGAUACCCCUGUAGUC
rnacentral:rRNA from 1 species